rnacentral:rRNA from 1 species
UGGGGAAUAUUGGACAAUGGGCGCAAGCCUGAUCCAGCCAUGCCGCGUGAGUGAUGAAGGCCCUAGGGUUGUAAAGCUCUUUCACCGGUGAAGAUAAUGACGGUAACCGGAGAAGAAGCCCCGGCUAACUUCGUGCCAGCAGCCGCGGUAAUACGAAGGGGGCUAGCGUUGUUCGGAUUUACUGGGCGUAAAGCGCACGUAGGCGGACUUUUAAGUCAGGGGUGAAAUCCCGGGGGCUCAACCCCGGAACUGCCUUUGAUACUGGAAGUCUUGAGUAUGGUAGAGGUGAGUGGAAUUCCGAGUGUAGAGGUGAAAUUCGUAGAUAUUCGGAGGAACACCAGUGGCGAAGGCGGCUCACUGGACCAUUACUGACGCUGAGGUGCGAAAGCGUGGGGGAGCAAACAGGAUUAGAUACCCUGGUAGUCCACGCCGUAAACGAUGAAUGUUAGCCGUUGGGGAGUUUACUCUUCGGUGGCGCAGCUAACGCAUUAAACAUUCCGCCUGGGGAGUACGGUCGCAAGA